GACGAACGCUGGCGGCGUGCCUAAUACAUGCAAGUCGAACGCUUCUUUCCUCCCGAGUGCUUGCACUCAACUGGAAAGAGGAGUGGCGGACGGGUGAGUAACACGUGGGUAACCUACCCAUCAGAGGGGGAUAACACUUGGAAACAGGUGCUAAUACCGCAUAACAGUUUAUGCCGCAUGGCAUAAGAGUGAAAGGCGCUUUCGGGUGUCGCUGAUGGAUGGACCCGCGGUGCAUUAGCCAGUUGGUGAGGUAACGGCUCACCAAGGCCACGAUGCAUAGCCGACCUGAGAGGGUGAUCGGCCACACUGGGACUGAGACACGGCCCAGACUCCUACGGGAGGCAGCAGUAGGGAAUCUUCGGCAAUGGACGAAAGUCUGACCGAGCAACGCCGCGUGAGUGAAGAAGGUUUUCGGAUCGUAAAACUCUGUUGUUAGAGAAGAACAAGGACGUUAGUAACUGAACGUCCCCUGACGGUAUCUAACCAGAAAGCCACGGCUAACUACGUGCCAGCAGCCGCGGUAAUACGUAGGUGGCAAGCGUUGUCCGGAUUUAUUGGGCGUAAAGCGAGCGCAGGCGGUUUCUUAAGUCUGAUGUGAAAGCCCCCGGCUCAACCGGGGAGGGUCAUUGGAAACUGGGAGACUUGAGUGCAGAAGAGGAGAGUGGAAUUCCAUGUGUAGCGGUGAAAUGCGUAGAUAUAUGGAGGAACACCAGUGGCGAAGGCGGCUCUCUGGUCUGUAACUGACGCUGAGGCUCGAAAGCGUGGGGAGCAAACAGG
rnacentral:rRNA from 1 species